GACAUGGAUGGGGCUUUGAAUGUAUGCAUGCUUAACUUUGAUCUUUACUGUUAGUUAUUUUAAUUUUGCAUUGUGGAAGCUGUUCGUCCUAAAUUGUUGAGACCUGCAAUUAUUUUAUUUAACAACCUGUUGCAAGUUAUAGGAUUCUGGAUCAAUGUGCUACAUGCUGAAACAUUAUUGCAUAAUUGGUUAUGUGUUUUUUAGUUGUCCCAAUGUGCAUUCAGCACCAUAUAUUGGUGUAAAAUGCAUUGUGAUCGGAAGCUGCAAUGAUUGUAGAAGCAAACCACAUGCA
rnacentral:misc_RNA from 1 species